UACGUAGGGUGCAAGCGUUGUCCGGAAUUAUUGGGCGUAAAGAGCUCGUAAGCGGUUUGUCGCGUCUGCUGUGAAAUCCCAGGGCUUAACCCUGGGCCUGCAGUGGGUACGGGCAAACUAGAGUGCGGUAGGGGAGAUCGGAAUUCCUGGUGUAGCGGUGAAAUGCGCAGAUAUCAGGAGGAACACCGGUGGCGAAGGCGGAUCUCUGGGCCGUAACUGACGCUGAGGAGCGAAAGCAUGGGUAGCGAACAGG
rnacentral:rRNA from 1 species